rnacentral:sRNA from 1 species
GUUUCAAUUCCUCAUAGGCAGGCUAUCGGCUUCGGACCCCCUGGGCAGAAAGCUCUUUGAAAACCGCAG